rnacentral:misc_RNA from 1 species
GUUAAAUAUUAAUCAAUAUUAUAUAUAGAUACCAAAGUGAAAAAUUAUAACAAUAAUGUACUACAUGAAAAAACAAAAUAUCAUAAAAACAACAAAACAAGCUGAUCAUCGUUAAUAAUGUCACAACCAUCAAUAUCUCUAGCAUCAUCCUAUUGAGUAGCAUUCUGAGCUCCAGCCCUACAUCAUCUAUGCUAUCAUGCACACAUUGCCAGAAUCUCUCCUCCAUUAAAGCCAAACUAUCCUUUAGAGUCGCGACAGCCUGGUGUAAUUGUCGAAUCUCUUUUUCCAUUGCACACUGUCCAUACUUGCACAUUAUUAUAUUAACAAUCAAAGAAAUUUAUUUUUUGUUAGAUCUAAGUUUAAGAUUAGUUAAAUCAAACAAGAAUACUACCGGAUCUACUUUAAAUCUGAUGAAGUCUCCCCGCCUCAAAAAUCAAAAGCACAAUAAAGAUUGAUCAGAAUAGUUAUAUUAGCUAAUAUGAGGAAAGAGUAAAGGCAUCUCUAUCAUUCUAUAGAAAAAAAAAAAUUACCUUUGUGACCAGUGAUGUACUCCUAGAAUUUCCCCUGAAUAAAUAAUUAAAAUAAUAAACAAUAAUGCCAUAAUAAUUAAUAAUUAUAAUAUUAAUAUAAGAUUCACAAUAAUGUAGGAGCAAAGUUUGAGUUAAGUUUGGCAUUGGCAUGCUAAUGCUGGGUCAGCAUGUUUAUAAGAUUGACAAUAAGACAACAUUAUUUGCUGUAAUGGCUUAUGCAAAAUUUGUGGAAUCUAUGGUAGCAGCAUGUUUAUUUUUCCAUUAUUAUUUGUUUAACACUCUGAUUGGUAACCCACUCUGCUUAAACUAUAAUUUAUUUCCAUUUUCUCUUCUUCAUGACAGGUCAGCUUAUUCACUACUUCAAAAUCUGUCAUUUCUAUGUAAAUCUUUUUAAUUUUCCAAAAAAAUGAUUUAAUAUAUGAAAUUUUCACGUUGUGGAUUCUAAAAGUAAUUAUUCAUUUGAUAACUAAAAUCAUUUUUUUGAUACAUCAUUAUUGGCUAUUAAUUUCUGCAAUUCAAAUUCAUCAUUUUCAUCUCAAUAAAAUAAUUUAAUUGGUUAUUAUCCUAAAAUGAACUUAAUGAUUUUAAAGACUUCACUUCAUGUAGUUUUGAAAUAAUUUUUUUUCAUUAUAUAUACAUAACAAAAGCAUCAUAUAAUUAUUAAUGAUAUAACAGUAGGAAUAUGCUUGAUUAACAUAUAUAAUUAAUUAACAUGAUAACAUGCACCACAGUAUGAUUGUCAGGUGUGUUAACUAAAUAAUGGUGGGUUUAAUUUAAACACUGAAAGGCUAAAAUUUUUUCUUCUUGUUUUCAUGGAGAGAAAACGACAAAAUAAUAAAGGAAGGAAAGCUCAUUCUCACUACAUAAAGCUUAAGAGGGACAAAACUAGUAGUCUGAAUAAAAAACUAGCAGCAAUUUAAUUACCUUUGAUGCUACAAUAGAUUACUGACAGAGGAAAU